rnacentral:tRNA from 1 species
GCCGUUUUAGCUCAGGGGUAGAGCAGCUCACUCGUAAUGAGCAGGUCCUCGGUUCAAUUCCGAGAAGCGGCUCCA